UUCUUAGGAGUUACAAGAAUUAAAUUUUCAAAUUAAUUAGUUUCGUUAGAAAAAACAUCACUAGCUCUAUUUCAUGCUCUUUAAACUUGUAACCUGAUUUCUUGUUAAACUUAAUCUUGCAUGGAUCAGGAACAAACAUAUCAAGUUCAUUCUUCUAGUGAAGCUCCUAGUCUGAUGUGUAAAAUAAUUGAAGCCAAUCAGCUAUAGUAAUAAU
rnacentral:lncRNA from 1 species